rnacentral:rRNA from 1 species
UCAGGAUGAACGCUGGCGGCGUGCCUAAUACAUGCAAGUCGAGCGAACAGACGAGGAGCUUGCUCCUCUGACGUUAGCGGCGGACGGGUGAGUAACACGUGGAUAACCUACCUAUAAGACUGGGAUAACUUCGGGAAACCGGAGCUAAUACCGGAUAAUAUAUUGAACCGCAUGGUUCAAUAGUGAAAGACGGUUUUGCUGUCACUUAUAGAUGGAUCCGCGCCGCAUUAGCUAGUUGGUAAGGUAACGGCUUACCAAGGCAACGAUGCGUAGCCGACCUGAGAGGGUGAUCGGCCACACUGGAACUGAGACACGGUCCAGACUCCUACGGGAGGCAGCAGUAGGGAAUCUUCCGCAAUGGGCGAAAGCCUGACGGAGCAACGCCGCGUGAGUGAUGAAGGUCUUCGGAUCGUAAAACUCUGUUAUUAGGGAAGAACAAAUGUGUAAGUAACUAUGCACGUCUUGACGGUACCUAAUCAGAAAGCCACGGCUAACUACGUGCCAGCAGCCGCGGUAAUACGUAGGUGGCAAGCGUUAUCCGGAAUUAUUGGGCGUAAAGCGCGCGUAGGCGGUUUUUUAAGUCUGAUGUGAAAGCCCACGGCUCAACCGUGGAGGGUCAUUGGAAACUGGAAAACUUGAGUGCAGAAGAGGAAAGUGGAAUUCCAUGUGUAGCGGUGAAAUGCGCAGAGAUAUGGAGGAACACCAGUGGCGAAGGCGACUUUCUGGUCUGUAACUGACGCUGAUGUGCGAAAGCGUGGGGAUCAAACAGGAUUAGAUACCCUGGUAGUCCACGCCGUAAACGAUGAGUGCUAAGUGUU